UUAGUCUUGAAAACUGCCCUCUGCUGUAGGUAUUAUUACCUGCCUUUUUCAGAUACAGACUCAAGCCAGAGGGCUCCAGGUGCUCCCGUAUCAUUUGUCUGCCAGGAUGAGAUUAUCAUGGUUCAAUAACAAUUUUUAUUCUCUCCAUGACUUGCCAACUCUGGACCAUGGUUACAGAAUGAGGAACAAAAGCCCCACAGAACUGUGGCAGGGGAGGAGUUAGAACCAGCGUCUGAGCCAUCAGAGACUCUGCGAUGGCUCAAAGAAGAAAAAGAUUUGGUUAUCAUUGGAGGCAUUUGUCUGCUUGAAGGCCACCCAGAGCUGUCCCUAAGAGCCUGAAUGUCAAAACCAAUUGAAAAUGAAAAGGGGAAAAAAUACAGGAAAAUUCUAUAGUAGUGAAGGCAUCUGAAAAAGAACUUCUUCUACAUGUGAAAAUUAUCAUGUUGUAGAGAAUAUUCUGUUUAUGCAGCAUAAAUGGCCGUGUAUUCUUUACAUGCACUUUUAAACAGGUUCACCCCAAGCAAGUAAGGCGACUAUCAUCGCUUUAUAUCAGCUGCAGCAUUACUUCUUGAUGAGAUACAACUUACACUAAACCCACACCUGUUGUUUUAUUUAACUGUAUUUUUGCUAUUGAGUAUUUUCUUCUUUGGUGUAAAGUUCCUGGCGUCUCUGAGAAUUACACCUCACCAAGAAGUCCAUUAUGAUAUUCUCAUGCACAUGAAACACCUCCGUCUCUACCAACC
rnacentral:lncRNA from 1 species